CGACCCCAGGUCAGGCGGGACUACCCGCUGAGUUUAAGCAUAUCAAUAAGCGGAGGAAAAGAAACUUACCAGGAUUCCCUUAGUAACGGCGAGCGAACUGGGAUCAGCCCAGCUUGUAAAUCAGGCGACCUUGUCGUCUGA
rnacentral:rRNA from 1 species